GUAUAGGAAGUAUUUAAUGAUUUGAUUCAUCUUACCAACAAAUAGGUCUGACAUUGCUAAUGACAUUUUAAUGUAAUCUGCUCUCAUUCGGAAAAUCCUUGGUUUGUGAAAUACAGAUGCAAUGACAAGAGUGUUAGCAAAAAAGUUUGCAGUUGCCAGUACAACCAUGUACAAUAUUAUAAGGGCAUGAUAACAGCACUGUGUGGUUGCUACAAACUACGGUAGUUUCAACAUCACAAAACAAUGUCCAAUUCAUAAGGUUCAACACAUUUGAAGAAUUAGAUGUAUCACUUUUUACAUUAUCAAUGAUAAGGUUGUAUGGAACAAAUUCUUCUUCCAUUGCAAUAAUGCCUCUGUCCUCUGCUUUAAUUGUUACAUUGAAUUAACGUUACUGCAAUGUCUUAAAAUUAUAUCAAAUGAAAUGAAACUGCAUUUCUAUAUUGGUCUUUUUUUAUUUUAUGACACGUAGUAUGAAUCAUAUGAAUCUAAUUUAUUUCUCUAUCCUCCCCAAGUUUUUUAAAUAAGUUCUCCACCCUCCCCAAGUUUUUAAAUAAAGAGAAUUUAUUUUAGUUGUAGUGCUAAUGCCUGAUUUAGUACCAUUCAAAAUCGAGACCUAUUUAAGGAUCUACUCAACAUUUAAAACUAUUGUAAUAUUUAAAUCUAGUUACCACUUCUAACUUCCUAAUUAUCUAUGAGAGGUAUCUCAUACAUUCUAACAUCAACCUUUAAUAAAUCCAAUCUGUUUUAA